CUCCGCCCUAGUUUAUUAUUUACCCAUUCAGGGCCACGAUUUAUUUUUGGACGAGAACGUCGGUCCUUCUCACUCUCGUGGCCACCCGCCAGAGCCGCGCACUGGCCACGCUGGGAGAUGGAAGGCCAGAGAGAAUCCAGCCUAGCUGAGAGAAGGCGGGUCCUCGGGGGAGGGUCUUGGUCACGCCUGCCUCUUGAUCUUUUGUUUAUCUUCAUAGACAGCAACUAGGAGUGCGGGCAGCCGAAUUUUCGGAUUUCUCCACAUUCCUGACGAACGAAGAGACUGAUAUGCCAGUUUACAGCACUGUCUUUGCUGAAGACAUAAACAACGUCACUUAGAAAUUGACAUGGAGUUUUGAUGUCACCAUGGAGACACUGAUCCCACUGCUUUCCUGGUCCUCUCCUAUUGCUUGCCUGAGCCAUUCCUGCAGCCUCCACCCUCACUCCAUCCAUUCCAUCCCCCACAGCAGCCUUCAGAGGAAUCUUUUAAACAUACUGUCAACCACACAGACAUACAUCUGGCUGGCCUAGCCAAGGAGAACUGGGACAGAUGCCGCUUGGAUCUCUUCCUGCAGUACAGCUCCAUCUUUGUCUAUAAGGCAUUUUUACAUUUCUACAUGAACUUGUGAGGUCAAAUCUUUCACCUGCUGCUGCGCAGCCCCCAAGCAUGUCCCUCCCUUCUACAUCUGAGACUGGAUUUGAGGAGUUGUGAUUCUUUUAGAAGUUGGGAUUCUUCUCCAGUUUGUUGACAUUUGUCAACUCUCCUUCAAGGAAUGUGAAAAAGCUUAAAAGCCACAUGUGUGCCAAGGAGACAUGCCCUGUUGGGACAUGCCAUAGAGAAUUCAGCUCCUCUCAGGAAUGUUCUAUCUUUUGACACUUAUUUGCUCUUCAGGACUGGUGAGAAUUGGAAAGCCAAACAUUCUUGUAAGAGGUUGUACUGAUGACGUGGAAGGAUCUUGCCUAAGGUGCAGUGCUAUAAACCUCACAGCAGCCCCACUGGGGGCUCAUCUUAGAGAUGAGAAGUUGGAGGCUCGGGGAGACCAUCCACCUGAUGGUACCCCCUGGGGGAGGCCUGAACUCUGCCCCACCCACUGUGGGACACGGGACAUCACUGAGCCUCAUGUUCCUCACCUGAGCAAUGGGAACCACGGUUAGACUUGGUGAGGAAGUGCUGUGUGGGUCCACACAAGGCAGCGCACAGUAGGACCUCAAUCUUCAUACUGCUCUUACAUUAUUACUUUUUUUUAGUUUGUCCAUUGGUGAAAUAUAUAUAACAUAAAAUUUACCAUCCUAACCAUUUUUAAGUGUACAGUUCAGUGGCACUAAGUAUAUUCACACUCUUAUGCAGCCAUCACCACCAUCCAUCUCCAGAACUUUUUCAUCUUCUCGAAUUGAACCUCUGUCCCCAUUAAACAUUAACUUCCCAUCCCCAUCCCUGCAGCCCCUGGUAAAUUCUCUGCUUUCUCUCUCUAUGAAUUUGACUACUAUAGGUUCCUCACAUAAGUGGAAUCAUAAAGUAUUUAUCCUUCAAAAAA